AGCUCCAAUAGCGUAUAUUAAAGUUGUUGCAGUUAAAAAGCUCGUAGUUGGAUUUCUGGCAGGAGUGACUGACCACAAACUCUGUUUGUGAGUUGUGUCAUUCUGGCCAUCCUUGGUAAGAUCCUUUUUGGCAUUAAGUUGUCGGGAAGGGGAUGACCAUCGUUUACUGUGAAAAAAUUAGAGUGUUUAAAGCAGGCUUAUGCCGUUGAAUAUAUUAGCAUGGAAUAAUAAGAUAGGACUUUGAGUCUAUUUUGUUGGUUUGCGAGUCAAAGUAAUGAUUAAUAGGGACAGUUGGGGGUAUUCGUAUUUCAUUGUCAGAGGUGAAAUUCUUGGAUUUCUGAAAGACGAACUACUGCGAAAGCAUUUACCAAGGAUGUUUUCA
rnacentral:rRNA from 1 species